AUUGAACGCUGGCGGAAUGCUUUACACAUGCAAGUCGAACGGCAGCACGGGGCAACCUGGUGGCGAGUGGCGAACGGGUGAGUAAUACAUCGGAACGUGCCCAGUCGUGGGGGAUAACGUAGCGAAAGUUACGCUAAUACCGCAUACGAUCUAUGGAUGAAAGCGGGGGAUCGCAAGACCUCGCGCGAUUGGAGCGGCCGAUAUCAGAUUAGCUAGUUGGUGGGGUAAAAGCUCACCAAGCCAACGAUCUGUAGCUGGUCUGAGAGGACGACCAGCCACACUGGAACUGAGACACGGUCCAGACUCCUACGGGAGGCAGCAGUGGGGAAUUUUGGACAAUGGGCGCAAGCCUGAUCCAGCCAUUCCGCGUGCAGGAUGAAGGCCUUCGGGUUGUAAACUGCUUUUGUACGGAACGAAACGGUCUGCCCUAAUACGGCGGGCUAAUGACGGUACCGUAAGAAUAAGCACCGGCUAACUACGUGCCAGCAGCCGCGGUAA
rnacentral:rRNA from 1 species